CUACGGGGGGCUGCAGUGGGGAAUAUUGCACAAUGGAGGAAACUCUGAUGCAGCAACGCCGCGUGGAGGAUGACACUUUUCGGAGCGUAAACUCCUUUUAUAUAGGAAGAUAAUGACGGUACUAUAUGAAUAAGCACCGGCUAACUCCGUGCCAGCAGCCGCGGUAAUACGGAGGGUGCAAGCGUUACUCGGAAUCACUGGGCGUAAAGAGCGUGUAGGCGGAUAGAUAAGUCAGGAGUGAAAUCCUAUGGCUCAACCAUAGAACUGCUCUUGAAACUGUCUAUCUAGAAUAUGGGAGAGGUAGAUGGAAUUUCUGGUGUAGGGGUAAAAUCCGUAGAGAUCAGAAGGAAUACCGAUUGCGAAGGCGAUCUACUGGAACAUUAUUGACGCUGAGACGCGAAAGCGUGGGGAGCAAACAGGAUUAGAUACCCGAGUAGUC
rnacentral:rRNA from 1 species